CAGGGCGUUACACAUAUUGUACAAAGCACCUAUACGAGCGAUGAGCUGCUGGGCCCACAUGUCCCAUGAGGUACCUCUCGGCUAGGGGGACAAAUGGUACUGGUAUAGAUUUUAUACAUACGAAAACAAGGAGACGGUGGAAAGCAGGGAGAUUGAUGACAAAACGAGAAAAGUUGGCAGGAAUACUGGAGGUUAAAUCAGUGAACACAAUUCCAAUGCCAGAGACCCGAGCUAUACCUAGGCUGGAACAGAGACAUAAAAAUCUAUGUUGUGAAUUGUGUGGUGAUGUUUUGAUAAGUAUGCUGCUUGACCCACAUAUGCCAAUAUGAGUGCCGGAUAAACCAAAAAGGUGAAAGCCAUUUGCAACAGAAGAAAAAGACAAAACAAUUACUUUCAAAGGAAUUCCUUGAACUACAAGGAAAAGCAAAUUAAUAACAAACUCCUAAACAAAGAAGAUCACCUAAUAAAAUUAGUCCUGGCAAAGAGGUGAAAAAAAUUUCUAUGCUACAUUAUUGCUAAAAGGUCACGAAAGAGAUGAAAUGGUUUGCAAAUGUGUACCUGAAUUGCAGCAUACGAGAAGUGUCCAAGAUCAGCAAACAUUGCUUUUGAGCCUCAGAGUAAAGUGAUAGAAAAUAUUGUCAUUCUAGUGUGGUGGACUAAUAUUCACCUAUCAUUAAUACAAGAUCUUUUCAAAUUACAACGCAACGAUUACGUUGACCACUAUUCGACCAUAUCAAAAGCAUAUUCAGCACAUGUUUGAUGACCAUUAUUUGAAAACUCUUUUUUUCAACAUGCUUAUUUCAACUACACAUUCAUAUAAUAAAAUAUUUUGCAUGUGAACCUAAGACUUGUCCCUACUUUUUAGCUACACAUUCUCCUAAAAUCACUAUUCAAAACAUUUGUUUUUUUUUUUUUCAAAUAAUGGCCGGGGCUUAAUUACAGAUUUGAUGAGCAUUAAGUUAUAAAAAUGCCUCUUCUUGUCAAGAUUUUUCCUUUUCAUUUAUGCCCAGCAGUGUGCUGGAUUUGCUAAGACUUAAAACUCAAGAAGGUCAAUAAUGUGCAGCAUGUUCUCUAUCACUUUCUUGGAUGUAUAAUUAAAAAUGCAUGCACGACAUUUUUUAAGGGGUUCGCCUGAAAUGCGCAAAAGAAUUCCACCCAGUGAUAUCCAUCCUCCUUUUCUUGUCUUCUUCAAGAACUUUAGCAAUUAAUAUGGGGGGACCGCUUGAUAAACUAGUGGAUUCCAGAGUAUAAAAUUGUACAAACCAAGAGCACUGAUGCAUUGUACUAUUUCCGGGCUAAUGGGCUUUGCUUUAAUGAUAUUUUAAAUUAUUUUUUCUCUGGUUAAACGAUUUCUCAUUUUCUUUUUCAAUUCCUUUUAAAUAGAAUUUUAAAUUAAUUUGUAUGCCCUGCGUUUAACGCUCAAGAAUAUUGCAAUUUGAUUUAAAACAUUUAUAAUUCAUUUAAGCGUAUAUAGAGAAUUUUUGGUGUAACCUACUACGGAUGGACUGCUUAAAUUUCCCCUUUAUUCAAGAGAAAAAAAUUCUCCCAAAUCCUAGAUACAUAAUUCGCAGCUGGUUCUGAUUUUGUAAAAAAUUGUUAGACCUACGGGUGGGAAAUUUUGAUUUAAUUUGUUCAAAUUGUUAUUGUUGUGGAUUAUUGAAAUUUUGGUUUAGGGAAAAAUUGAAAGGUGUCCGAGAACACAAGAUUUCAACUGGGGACAAUAGGGGCUUUGACUGUCAAUCAUUUCGUCAGUUUCUAUUGUGAUAUGCAGUAAACCACUCAUGAGCACUCUACAUUUCAUUUUCGGCGAGUUUUAAUACCCUACAUUUGGUUUUUUUUUUCCUUGUUCUAAAAAUGAUAUUUUUGUACUAUAAUGAAUUGAAUGUUCUUGUCAUUGCUCUAUCUAUUGCCUCGGUCAGGUACAUUUAAUGCCGAAAAUUCAUGUGCCAUUACAUUACUUACAUUCCUUGGCGCAAAUUCUUUCUAAAGUGAUGGAAUUGAUAUAAUUUACUUCAGUUGAGGACCUUUAAUAAUGCUGUUAUUUUAGAAGAGGAGGUUCUUGUCAAUUUUUGAAUUGGAUUGUUAUUGAACUUGAAGUGAGGAAGCUGCACAAGUCCUAACUGAUUGCCUUUGUUACUAAAAGUAUUCCUUCAACUGAGCAUGCUUGGUUGAUCACGUCAAAUAUGCUAUAAAUAGUAAGAAUAUAACUUUCAUAUGAUCCAGCUUUUAAUUUCCAAUAGAGUAGUUUAUAUUUUUCUCUUAACAUCAUAAUUUGAUGUAAUUAGAUCUAGAAAGGAAGAAGUCCAGCUUCUAAUUCCCGAUAGAGAAGUUUAUGUUUUUCUUAACCUAGUAAUUUGAUGCUGUAAUUAGAUUUAGAAGGGAAAAGUCCUUAAUUGUGAUGUUGAUUUGUUUUUUUGAAGUUUUAUUUUGGGGAACAGCGAAAUGUUAUUAAAAACGAUAAAGAUUAAGAAGAAGAUGAUAUUUAUACUAGUAUUUUUAUUAUACGAGCUGGCAUUUACUGGUAACUUUGCUCUCUUCAUGUGGCAUUAUGGUUGAAAUUUUUCGAGCACAAACCAAUAGAAUACAAACCGUAAUUAGAUUUGGUACUCUAAAUGGGAUUUCGAUUGGAUUAUACUCAGCUUGGGAUUCAAUUCUGUUGGUUUCUAUAGGUAUCUCUUUGCUAUCUACUUACAAUGUUCAACAUUGAACUGUUUCUCACUGAUGUUUCCAAAUUGAGGAUUUGUUAUUUUACUUUACUAGAUGACAAAGCUGGCAAUCAUCCCAUGUAUAGUCCUGUUGGAAACUCUUUUCCUAAGUAAGAAUUUCAGGAGAGAAACCACAUUUGGGCCC
rnacentral:lncRNA from 1 species